GCUGUGGCUCAGUGGUAGAGCAUGGUUUGGAUGCAAAGAGUCCCAGGAUCAAUGCCUGGCAUCACCA